GCUGAAUGUGAAGAAAGAGCCUGAGGAAGAUCCAGACUUUAUAGCAGAGGGGGAAGUGAAAAAAGAGGAAAUAAAAGGCAGAUAUCACUGUUGGUCUGUCUUCUAACUCAGAAGAUCCUUUCAAGAAGAAAAAACCAAGGAGGAGAUUGAGGCAGCCAUAGCAAGAUAAAAAAAGAAAGAGGAAGAGGAGAAACAAAGGUGGAGAUGGUGGGAAAAGGAGACGUACGAGGAUGGAAUUAAAUGGAAAUUUCUAGAACAUAAAGGACCAUAUUCCUUUAGGGACAGGAGGAAGGUAAACAGCGCCUAUAGUUGUCAGCC